rnacentral:rRNA from 1 species
UUAAAUGAAUUGACGGGACCCGCACAAGCGUGGAUGAUGUGGAUUAAUUCGAUGCAACGCGAAGAACCUUACUACCCUUGACAUGUCCGGAACUUGCCAGAGAUGGCUUGGUGCCCGAAAGGGAACCGGAACACAGGUGCUGCAUGGCUGUCGUCAGCUCGUGUCGUGAGAUGUUGGGUUAAGUCCCGCAACGAGCGCAACCCUUGUCCUUAGUUGCUACGCAAGAGCACUCUAAGGAGACUGCCGGUGACAAACCGGAGGAAGGUGGGGAUGACGUCAAGUCCUCAUGGCCCUUAUGGGUAGGGCUUCACACGUCAUACAAUGGUCGGUACAGAGGGUAGCCAACCCGCGAGGGGGAGCCAAUCCCACAAAGCCGGUCGUAGUCCGGAUCGCAGUCUGCAACUCGACUGCGUGAAGUCGGAAUCGCUAGUAAUCGCGGAUCAGCAUGUCGCGGUGAAUACGUUCCCGGGUCUU